CACAAGCAGCGGAGCGUGUGGUUUAAUUCGAUGCUACACGAAGAACCUUACCAGGGUUUGACAUGCAAGUGGUAGGAAACCGAAAGGCGACCGACCCUUCGGGAGCUUGCACAGGUGCUGCAUGGCUGUCGUCAGCUCGUGUCGUGAGAUGUUCGGUUAAGUCCGCUAACGAGCGCAACCCUCGCUGUGUGUUACAAGUGUCACACGGUACUGCCGGUCUUAAGCCGGAGGAAGGUGGGGAUGACGUCAAGUCCUCAUGGCCCUUAUGGGUAGGGCUUCACACGUCAUACAAUGGUCGGUACAGAGGGUUGCCAAGCCGCGAGGUGGAGCCAAUCCCUUAAAGCCGAUCGUAGUCCGGAUCGUAGUCUGCAACUCGACUACGUGAAGUCGGAAUCGCUAGUAAUCGUGGAUCAGCAUGUCACGGUGAAUACGUUCCCGGGCCUU
rnacentral:rRNA from 1 species